rnacentral:misc_RNA from 1 species
GAGACAAGCAUAUGACUACUGGCAGGAUCAACCAGGUAGCAUUCCUUCGCGACRCCGACGCCCGCAUGAGACCCGGCAGGCCGUGAGGCCGCGGGCUCAAGACGGGCACGGCAGUCGUUCGUGUCGAUGGACAAAUGCGUUGCUUGGGCAAACGGAGCUAAUAAAUAGACCCCGCACCCGCACAUAACAUUCUGCAUCCGAGAGCACGGGCAAUGCACCUCAUGGGCCGAGGCAGCGACGCAGCUGGGCGAAGCGUGCCGGGAACACGAGGCUUGCCUGAUGUCCACCCCAAAACCCGUGAGGGCAGGGGGCGGAAAGGGACUAACGGAACCAUCGGAUUCCUUUCGAUAGGUAAGCAACACAGGAUACCGAA